GGACGGGACCCGCACAAGCGGUGGAUGAUGUGGAUUAAUUCGAUGCAACGCGAAAACCUUACCUACCCUUGACAUGUCCGAAUCCCGAAGAGAUUUGGGAGUGCUCGCAAGAGAACCGGAACACAGGUGCUGCAUGGCUGUCGUCAGCUCGUGUCGUGAGAUGUUGGGUUAAGUCCCGCAACGAGCGCAACCCUUGUCAUUAGUUGCCAUCAUUUGGUUGGGCACUCUAAUGAGACUGCCGGUGACAAACCGGAGGAAGGUGGGGAUGACGUCAAGUCCUCAUGGCCCUUAUGGGUAGGGCUUCACACGUCAUACAAUGGUCGGUACAGAGGGUUGCCAACCCGCGAGGGGGAGCUAAUCCCACAAAGCCGAUCGUAGUCCGGAUCGCAGUCUGCAACUCGACUGCGUGAAGUCGGAAUCGCUAGUAAUCGUGGAUCAGCAUGUCACGGUGAAUACGUUCCCGGGUCUU
rnacentral:rRNA from 1 species